UACAGAGGUGGCAAGCGUUGUUCGGAAUUACUGGGCGUAAAGCGCGUGUAGGCGGCCCUGCAAGUCGGAUGUGAAAUCCCACGGCUCAACCGUGGAAGUGCAUUCGAAACUGCAGGGCUAGAGUCCUGGAGAGGAAGGUGGAAUGCUUGGUGUAGAGGUGAAAUUCGUAGAUAUCAAGCGGAACACCGGUGGCGAAGGCGGCCUUCUGGACAGUGACUGACGCUGAGACGCGAAAGCGUGGGGAGCAAACAGG
rnacentral:rRNA from 1 species